rnacentral:rRNA from 1 species
UGGGUCUAAACAUCCGUAGCUUGCUUAAUAAGUUUCCUGUGAAAUUCUGUCUCUUAAGGGCAGAGCGCGCAGGAAGUACUGUUGAGCUAGAGACUGGAAGACGUGAAAAGUACGUUCGAAGUAGCGGUAAAAUGCGUUAAUCUUGAGCGGACUCACAAUAGCGAAGGCAUUUCACGAGGACAGUUCUGACAGUAAGGGAUGAAGGCUAGGGGCGCGAAAGGGAUUAGAUACCCCUGUAGUCCUAGCAGUAAACACUGUACACUAAACAUCAGUACCUCCUCGAGAGGCAUUGGUGCUGUAGCGAAGGCGAAGAGUGUACUACCUGGGAAGUAUAGUCGCAAGGCCGAAACUUAAAGGAAUUGGCGGGGGAGCACAAG